GAGACCGGCGCACGGGUGCGUAACGCGUAUGCAAUCUACCUUUACAGAGGGAUAGCCCAGAGUAAAUUUGGAUUAAUACCUCAUAGUAUAGCAGUUUCGCAUGAAAACCACUAUUAAAGUCACAACGGUGAAAGAUGAGCAUGCGUCCCAUUAGCUAGUUGGUAAGGUAACGGCUCACCAAGGCUACGAUGGGUAGGGGUCCUGAGAGGGAGAUCCCCCACACUGGUACUGAGACACGGACCAGACUCCUACGGGAGGCAGCAGUGAGGAAUAUUGGACAAUGGGCGCAAGCCUGAUCCAGCCAUGCCGCGUGCAGGAUGACGGUCCUAUGGAUUGUAAACUGCUUUUAUACAGGAAGAAACACUCCGACGUGUCGGAGCUUGACGGUACUGUAAGAAUAAGGAUCGGCUAACUCCGUG
rnacentral:rRNA from 1 species